GGCCUAAAGCGUUCGUAGCCGGCUUAGUAAGUCUCUUGUAAAAUCCAAUGAUUUAAUCAUUGGUUCGCAGGAGAUACUGCUAUGCUCGAGGACGGGAGAAGUCGUCGGUAUUCCAGGGGUAGGGGUGAAAUCCUAUAAUCCCUGGAGGACCACCAGUGGCGAAGGCGGUCGACUAGAACGUGCCUGACGGUGAUGGACGAAAGCUGGGGGAGCGAACCGGAUUAGAUACCCGGGUAGUCCCAGCUGUAAACGAUGCGGGCUAGGUGUUAGGGUAGCCACGAGCUACUCUAGUGCCGCAGAGAAGUCGUUAAGCCCGCCGCCUGGGAAGUACGGCCGCAAGGCUGAAACUUAAAGGAAUUGGCGGGGGAGCACCACAAGGGGUGAAGGCUGCGGUUUAAUUGGAGUCAACGCCGGGAAACCUACCGGGACCGACAGCAGAGUGAAGGCCAGACUGAAGAUCUUGCCAGACAAGCUGAGAGGAGGCGCAUGGCCGUCGCCAGUUCGUGCCGUGAGGUGUCCUGUUAAGUCAGGCAACGAACGAGACCCCCACCAUUAGUUGCCAGCGGAUUCCAACGGAAUGCCGGGCACACUAAUAGGACUGCCAUCGAUAAGGUGGAGGAAGGAGGGGGCCACGGCAGGUCAGUAUGCCCCAAAUGCCCCGGGCCACACGCGGCCUGCAAUGGUAGGGACAGAGGGUUCCAACCUUGAAAAAGGAAGGUAAUCUCUAAACCCUAUCUCAGUUGGGAUUGAGGGCUGCAACUCGCCCUCAUGAACAUGGAAUCC
rnacentral:rRNA from 1 species